GACGAACGCUGGCGGCGUGCUUAACACAUGCAAGUCGAACGAGUGGCGAACGGGGUAGUAAUACGUGGGUUACCUGCCCUCUGUUUUGGAUAAGCCUUGGGAACGGUGUCUAAUCCCGAAGAAAGGGGGCUGGGCUCGCGGCCUAUCGGCUUGUUGUUGGGGUGAUGGCCUACCAAGGCGGUGACGGGUAGCCGGCCUGAGAGGGGAAACGGCGACUGUGGGACGGCGAGACGGCCCAGAGGCGUACGGGAGGCAGCAGUGGGGGCUAUUGGAGAAUGGGCGAAAGCCUGAUGCAGCGUGGACGCGUGGGGGAUGAGGGCUUUAGGGUUGUAAAACUCGUGAGCAAGCGAACGGGUAGGUGGAGAAGAAGCGCCGGCUAACUACGUGCCAGCAGCCGCGGUAAUAC
rnacentral:rRNA from 1 species